GUGGAGCCAAAGAGCUCCAAAACAUUCAGUUAGCAACUUAUAUUCGUGACGCAAGGUUGGUUCGUGUUUUGAAACGGAUAUCAACGUCUACUCUGUGUUGUUAAACUAAAAACAAAAUCGUUCUUUCAUAAAAUCCCAAGAAACCGUUAACUUUCAAUGGUGAUGCAUUAUUGCUGUUCUCUUCUUUGUUAAUCAAAUCGAGAAGCUAAACUACAUCGCAGUAAAACUGGACGCUACAAAAAAAACGCGCCGCAUUACAACAACAUCAGCAAAAUCAAGAGCAAUUCAUUGACAAUUAUCGUA
rnacentral:sRNA from 1 species